UACAGAGGUCUCAAGCGUUGUUCGGAUUCAUUGGGCGUAAAGGGUGCGUAGGUGGCGUCGUAAGUGGGGUGUGAAAUCCCGGGGCUUAACCCCGGGACUGCAUUCCAUACUGCGGUGCUUGAGGACUGGAGAGGAGACUGGAAUUUACGGUGUAGCAGUGAAAUGCGUAGAUAUCUGGAGGAACACCGGCGGCGAAGGCGGCGUUCUGGACUGCAACUGACACUGAGGAACGAAAGCCAGGGGAGCAAACGGG
rnacentral:rRNA from 1 species